GUGACGUAACGCACGUGCUAGGCGGCGCGUUUGAAAUGUGGACCUGGAUUUGUUUUAUUCACACGCGCGCGUUCAGAUCACACCGAGAGUUUCCUUACUGGACUUGAAAUCAUCAGCCUCCGGCUUUAAGGCACAUGUGUCAUUCUGGAUGUUAUGUAGGUGGAAUAUUUUGGAUAUGAUCAUCAUCAUCUUCCUACCUAGCAGAUGAAUGGAUUUCCAUUAACAGAUCUCUGGGAUUCCCAUCUUUAUCUGGGAGAGACUCGUUUAGGAAGACUUUAUGGUAAAUAUUCCCAUGUCUUGGGGUUUUUAUGCUGUUUGAAAAACAACACAUCAAAGAACUGAUACAGAGAUAACAAGCAUUUUAUUUAGAUUUUAUGUUUAAAUAAAAUUGUUAUUUUCAGCCCACGUGACUUCCCUGUGUGACAACUAGCCCCGGUCUCACUGCAUACUUCUGAUCUGACUCUGUGUUGUAAAGUCAUUUCAAUUCAAGUAUUUUGUAAUCGUUACUUUCACAUGAGCGAGUCAGUGUCCGCUUCUCAGAGAUGAGCUCAGCACUUUGAUGGGAAGUUUUAUGCUGUGUAUUUAUACUCUCUGAUUAAGAUUUACUUGUAAAAAUCAAGAAUUUAUUUUGAAUGCGCUGACUGUAUUUUAUUGUAAAGGUUUUCUAGGAACAUUUUUAUUAGAUGAUAGUAAAAAAUAAUGCAGGCAACUCAGCAAAAAAACUCUCAGAUUCAACUGCUUGAAAUUCCCAGCAGAUUUCUUCAUGUGUAUAUACAUAUUUGUAUUAUCAUAAAAAAAUUCAACAACUGAGACAUAAACAAGUAGAUAGACAUGUGACAAAUAGUUUCUACAUGACAAGAUGAUUUAUAACCUGAAUGAUUGCAGUAAAUGUUUGGUUAGUUGUGUGUUAAGCGUGACUCUGUCAUUUGAUUCUGUUGAGUGUCAUUUACCAUAAAACUAAACAACUUUAUCAUCUGUCUUUGUG